ACCAGCAGGACCAAUGUUCCAAGUUGUGACCUUGAGUGGAAACACAUUGACAAUGACCUCAGGCACACACUCUUUCAAGGAUUGGAGGAGCCAAGAAGUUAACAAAAAUUUAGAUAAGAUCACAGAAGGGCCUCUUUACAACUUUUGGGAUGCAAAGAAGAGUGAUACUGCAAAGUUUGAAAGGUUCUAUAGUGGGAUGCUGGAGCAAGGAAUAUAUUUUGCUCCUUCAUAUUUUGAGGCUGCAUUUGCAAGCUUGGCAAAUAGCACAUACUCCUGUAGAGUGAAGAUAUCCCAAAAAAAAAAAAAAACAAUAGCAGCGGCUGAGCAGGUUUUAGUGCAGAUUUAGGGUAGCAAUUCCUGCGUCCAUAGCCUUUGAUUUUCUGUUGCCCCUCAAGCAUAAUUGUUGUUUUGUAGGUGAAUUGAGAGUGUGUAUCACUAUUAAGUUUAUAAUCGAUUUACGGAGCAAAACAAUCAUAAAAGAAUCCCUCAUUAA